rnacentral:lncRNA from 1 species
GAUUAACUCUGAGCUAACAUCUGCCACCAGGCCUCCUCUUCUCACUGAGGAAGCCUGGCCCUGAGCUAACAUCUGUGCCCAUCUUCCUCUACUUUAUAUGUGGGAUGCCCACCACACCAUGGCUUGAUGAGCAGUGUGUAUGUCUGCACCUGGGAUCCGAACCUGCGAACACUAGGCCACUGAAGCGGAACAUGCAAACUUAACUGCUGCGCCACCAGACCGGCCCCAUUUAACUGAACCUUAAAUUGAGUGAAAAAGUAAAGGUGCUGCAUGAUGUCUACCUUAAAGAAUUGCUGUGCAGAUUAAAUGUGAUAAUGAUGCUUAAGUAUUUGCAUCUUGUGAGUACUCAACAAAGGCUGCCCAUGUUCCUUGGCUUGCGUCCCCUUCCUCCACCUUCAAAAUCAGCAAAGACCUCGCUGAGAAUCUGAGGAGAGCUAUGGAUCUCUUCUCCGAAAAAUGCG